CGGGACNGGCGGGGCUCGAACCCGCAGC
rnacentral:tRNA from 1 species